UGGGUCGACUGGACGGUCGCGUGGCGGGCAACCGCACCGAGGAACGUCCGGGCUCCACAGGGCAGGGCGGUGGGUAACACCCACCCGGAGUGAUCCGCGAGAAAGUGCCACAGAGAGCAGACCGCCCCGCAAGGGGUAAGGGUGAAAGGGUGGUGUAAGAGACCACCGGGGGCCAUGGUGACAUGGCCCGCCAGGUAAACCUCGCCCGGAGCAAGGUCAGACAGAGGAUGUUGACGCGGCCCGCCGAGUCCUCGGGUAGACCGCUGGAGCGGCACGGCAACGUGUCGCCGAGACAGAUGGCCGUCGAAGGGGCGAAGAACCCCGGAACAGAACCCGGCGUACAGGUCGGCCCAUUCG
rnacentral:RNase_P_RNA from 1 species